GGAGAAAAGACACAGGUCAGGGUCAGUCUGAGGUCCAGCAGGACGGACCUGUCGUCCUGUCAGAGGGACAAGAGUGAUCUGAUCACAGUGGAGCACAUCUGGAUGCUGCCUGGGAGGAAAACAAAAUGAGAAAAUCAUCACUGAGCAAACACGCAGCGGAGUCUUCAGGGUCCAGCAGGAUGUCUCUGAGGAGUGACCGUUUUAAACAUCGUCCACCAGCCUUCAGUGCUGAACCUGGACCUUCAGACACAAAACACACAGGAGAGUCUUCAGGGUCCAGCAGGAUGUCUCUGAGGAGUGACCGUUUUAAACAUCGUUCACCAGCCUUCAGUGCUGAACCUGGACCUUCAGACACAAAUCUUUCUGGCUGUGGACUCUCUGAUCCUCACUGUGAAGUGAUCUCCUCAGCUCUGACCUCUGACCCCUCCCAUCUGAAACAUCUGGACCUGAGUGGGAACAAGCUGGAGGAUUCCUCAGUGAAGAUUUUGUGUUCUGGACUGGAGAGUCCAAACUGUAACCUGGAGACUCUGAGGUUGGAGGGCUGCAGUUUGUCAGAGAUCAGCUGUUUUUCUGUGGCCUCAGCUCUGAAGUCCAACCCCUCCCUCCAGAAACAUCUGGGACAUCUGGACCUGAAUUGUAACCAUCAUCUGGAUACAGCAGUUUCUCAGCUGUGUGGUUUUCUGCAGAGUCCACUCUGUGUUCUGCAGACUCUGAGGUCAGACUCCAUGUUUGAGUGACUGCAGUUUGUCAGAGAUCAGCUGUUCUUCUGUGGCCUCAGCUCUGAA